UGACGGUAUCUAACCAGCAAGUCACGGCUAACUACGUGCCAGCAGCCGCGGUAAUACGUAGGGGGCAAGCGUUAUCCGGAUUUACUGGGUGUAAAGGGAGCGUAGACGGCUGUGCAAGUCUGAAGUGAAAGCCCGCGGCUCAACUGCGGAACUGCUUUGGAAACUGUACAGCUUGAGUACCGGAGGGGUAAGCGGAAUUCCUAGUAUAGCGGUGAAAUGCGUAGAUAUUAGGAGGAACACCGGUGGCGAAGGCGGCUUACUGGACGGUAACUGACGUUGAGGCUCGAAAGCGUGGGGAGCAAACAGGAUUAGAUACCCUG
rnacentral:rRNA from 1 species